rnacentral:rRNA from 1 species
UACGUAGGGGGCAAGCGUUGUCCGGAUUUAUUGGGCGUAAAGAGCGUGUAGGCGGCCAUGCAGGUCCGCUGUGAAAACUCGAGGCUCAACCUCGAGACGUCGGUGGAAACAGCAUGGCUAGAGUCCGGAAGAGGAGAGUGGAAUUCCCGGUGUAGCGGUGAAAUGCGCAGAUAUCGGGAAGAACACCCGUGGCGAAGGCGGCUCUCUGGGACGGUACUGACGCUGAGACGCGAAAGCGUGGGGAGCGAACAGG